AUUUAGCCCCGAUAGAAGCGAUAUCCUGUUGUGGUGGGGUUCACCACAACAGAUAUAGCGGAUAGCGGGACUGGAC
rnacentral:sRNA from 1 species